CACAUGCACAAAUCCUGGUGUGAGGAAUAUUUUAAGCAUAUAUCUUCAAUAUUAUUCAUCGAGGACUGAAGUAAAUCAUGAUGCAGGAAAUGAACCACGGUGACCAGUCUGUAUUGGUGAAUGUCCCAUGUGAGCAUGAAAAGAAUGUGUAUUCUGAAGUUGCUGUAUUCAAUACAGUUAAUUGAUGGUGUCAUUCAGUUCAAAGAGAAGGGAACUCUGUGAUGCAUGGAUAGUGUGAAAAGAAAGUUUUGGCAGAUAAGGACUUAAAUUUCCUUUUUAACAUGUCAUAAUUCACUGAAUACAAGACUCUUCAAUACUGGAAUUUUUCAAAGUGAAUCUUACUGUGUUAAGUGUCUUCUCUGAAGCAAGCAUUGUGGCCAAAAGAGUGCAAUAGACUAAUCAGCUUACUACAAGGCUGAAAAUGGGAAGAAAGUCCUUUCCUUAAAGCAAAAUCUGGGUUCUGUU